AAAUUGUCCUACCUGUAUUUUUAAAUACCCACAAUAUUUUUGUUUGUUGCGAAUUUUUAAGGAAAAACUGGAAAACCCAGGGUCAUGUACUUUUUCUUCUUUACUUAUGAGAACAGUAAAGGAAUGCUAGAUAGCACCAAAUACUCCAUAUCAUUAGCAGUUCGUUUGGAGUUAAUUGAAGUUUCACGAUGGAGAUUCCUUCUGUGUUGUUGGUCAUUGCUGUUGUCGUUUCUUCUUACAAGGUUGGAGGGAAAACUUCCAGAAUGUGUUUGGCCUCUGUGCCAACAAUUACACACGUCUCUAGAUGUCCGACAACAGAAGAAGAAUUUAGAAUGGCUGAACGACGCAAAAGUUGUGUUCAUAUCAAACAGAACUGCACAGGCAAAACUGGAUUCAAAUACCAUUGCGUCAUCAACGAGUAUGGUAACAACUCCUUGGAAGUAUGUGCACCCACCUGGUAUAUUUCAGGUUUCUGUACGGAGUACAAUGUAAAGGGAAGAGUGAUUCAGGACCAUUACAGAAAAGACUGCACGACAUUUAACAAAGAUCCUUGUCCAAGUCGAUAUUUGUCAACCGGUUCCUACAAAUAUUCUGAAUGCUUCAAGAACUCUUUAUCAAGCAACUUGAAUUCCAAUUUACAACAGGAGGGACGAAUAUCUCCCACUGACAAUGACAAAACAUUUCUGAUCGUGGACAUUUCACUGGGGAUGAUAGUGAUUAUUCAGAUAUUCGUCUGCAUUUUGCUGAUUUUUAGAAAUAGAAGUAGAAAUGAUAUACGGGAAUACGUUCGUCAGAAAUUAGGGUGGUUUAAGAAAGACAGUAAAACGACAUAUGAUGAACAUGGUUCCGAAUCAUUACACAGGUCAUAUCGCGGUUUGGAAAGUAGAGAGGAGUUCACAGCACAGAGCAGGAUGGAUCCUGAACGUCCUCUCAUGCCACUUCCACAAAAUCAAAUUGGAGUCAGUUCUAAACAAGCUACUGCAUACAUUGAUCACCAGGGCACUAAACAAGAGAUAUCCACUGCUACUGCAUGCAUUGAUCCCCCGGGCACAGAGGAAAUCCCGUGUAGUUAUCAGAAUGAUGGCGGCUUUGUUAAGAAAAUGAAAACUUUCUUUGACGGAAAUGGAAGAUCUGAUAUGAAUACACAGUCAGAAGAUAACAUCUAUCAGACAAUUGGGCAUGCACGGACCCUUGGACAAACCAAUGGUGGGACCAGGUGCCUAGGAGGAGUAAGCAUCCCCUGUCGACCGGUCACACCCGCCAUGAGCCCUAUAUCCUGAUCAGGAAGUUAAUGAGGAGGAAAACAGUUAUCAAGACACUGGAUGAAUUAGCAUAUCUAGAUCCUGGAUAAUACCACAAAACCACAUGACAGGGAGAUAUAGGAAAACUUUAAAACGUUGUCAUUUUACUUAUGAAUGUCCUUCUAGUAAUUUCAAUCUUACUUGUGAUGGAAUAACUUUUGAUAAGUUAGGGAUAUAGAAUGAGAAGAUUUAUAUGAAUAUCUAUAUGAAUGUUUAAAUCAUGAUGAAAUUUCUAUUGCCAGAAUGUGAUAUUUCUGCUAUCUAUAGCAUACACUGUACGAAGUCCGAUAUUUCAAUUCACGUAUUGUAGGAUUUUUAUCAUGAUCCGGUUUUAGAUAAGAAAAAAGAGAAUUCUUGUACAGUUAGUUAUUUUAUUACGGAUGGUUCCUGUAGAGAAGUGAUGGAACUGUGAACGCCGAUCCUUUGUGAUGUGAAUCUCUCAAGGACUCACUAGACAUUUUGGUCAAAAUAUGGUUAUCAUGAUCAUAAAGCACAGAAAGUAAAUAUAAUGUUAAAAAAAACUUUUAAAGUACUUACAAAUGAUAAUUAAUAGAAAAAGAAAACAAACAAUAAAAUAACACACAUAUAUAUAUAUAUAUAUAAAGUCUGUAAAACAAUAUGGCAUGUAAAAACAAAUUCUUAUGAGUGAAAUUUUAUGGAGUCUCCAAUGCAUAUCAAUAUUGUGAUGACAUUGCAAUGAGUGUAAUUUUUACAUAGAAGUUUUGUUGAAAUUAAUUUUGCAUGCAUGACAAACUACUUCAAAUCAUCUAUUUUUUUACGAUAUGCGUGGAUGGCUAAUGAAUAAUUAAUUUGAUGAUAUGCAUAGUUUGAUUCUGUUAAAUGCAUAUUUUCCUAUACAUGUUAUUCAACAAUAAAACAUGGAUUAUACUAAUGAAAACAUGUAGGUAUGUAUUGCUGAAUUUUGAAUACUUUCUAGAUACAAUGAACUCAUUUGUUAGAAAAACAAUAUCUAGCUUUCUCAAUGAUCAUUAUGAGGGUUCUGUAAUUGGCUAAAAUUUAAAUCACUACAUCGUCUUGCUAUAAAUCAUAAAUGCGUCCAGUUCGAUUCUACCGCUUCUGGUUCCAAGGGACACGUGGCGAGAUGAUGAAGUUGCAUAAUAAGUAUUUUGAAGAUAUUUUUUUUCACUAAUCGGAUAGAAUACCAGAUAAUGAUUAAGCUGCUUAUCUUGAGAAACAGUUCCGAAGAUAUUUGACGUUGGGAUGAACACAGACACACAUAUACAUGUAUAUAUAUCGGUGCUAAAUAUACGUAUUGUGGACGUGUCCAACUAACAAAUUCUUUUCAUGAUUUGCUUUUCCGAUUAUUCCCGCGUUACUGCAACUUAAAACAAAUCGCUUCAGAUCCCAUUUUUUGGCAACUGUCAUCUGACUGUACAAGUUAUUCGCCCUCUCUUACAGGUACUGGUAAUUAUUUGAGUAUUUUAUGUCUUAAUGUAUGUGGUUUAAGACCUAAACUUCUCAGCCCAGAAUUUCUAGACUUCAUAGAAAAAUACGAAAUUAUUUGUUUAGUUGAAUCAAAAACUGAUGGUACAGAUAUUUUAGACAUUUCAAAUUUUGAUUGUUACACAAAGCAUAGACACGAGUUAUCACGCUUUAAAUCUGGCUUAUUUAGAGAAAAAAAUUAUGAAAAUAUUGAUUAUGUAAAUGAAUUAUGUACUAUGUUUGACGAAAUACAUGUAUCUGACAUCUGGAAAAUAUUGAAUGGUAGAAAAACUCAGAAAACUGUUGAUAAAACUAGCAUAGAUGAACUUUUAAACUUUUUUAAAGAAUUGAAUGAGGAAGAUGAAUCAGUUGUACCAGAUUGUUUGUUUUGUGAACAUGAUUUGAAUAUUAUGUUAUCCCAUAUUGAAUCAAAUACUUUUAUUAAUUCACCUAUUACUAAAGAUGAAAUAUUACAAUGUAUAAAAUCAUUGAAGCGUAACAAAUCAUCAGGUUGUGACCAUAUUGUUAAUGAAUACAUCAAAUC